CACUAUUCCACUGCUCAGCAGGUGGCAGCCAAGAUGUGCAGCAGCGCACCAGCAAAUGCAGGAGAGAAGACUGCAGGCUAGCAACCAUGGAUGUAAACAACGCUGGAUUCAAAAUACUGCUACCACAACACUUUUAUGAGGAAGGAAAUGCGCUUGACACACUUCUUAGAAGUCAAGGACAUACACACUGCGGUCUGCUUUAGUCUGGAGCUUGAUUACAUUACCUGCUGUUUCUGGACAAUUGAAGUUCAAGAAUGGGUCUGGGGGUGACCUGUGAUCAGCUCAGGCAGAAUUGCGCCUUAGACGGAAUUCCUACACUGACUCUUCUCUCCCAUCCUUCUUCUAUCUGCACCCCUCUCCUCAACAAUCACACAUCUGUCCUCAACAUCCAACUCCUCAACUUUGACUGAAACCAGACUUCUCAUACUUGAAUUGUACUGUGAAUUAACUUCCUUAAGCCCCUUGUAGUGCCUGGACUGAUAAUGACUCAGGUCUAGAAUGACUCAGAGCUAAAGAGAAAUUAAUGGUGGUGUUAGAAAAAAAAAACAAAACAGUUUGCACAAUAAUCAUUCUUGAUCAACUGAUGUUUUUCAUUAUGAUAAAAAUGCAGUAGUUUUGAAAUGUUGGUGUGUUUGCAUUAUUACAGGCUGCCAAUUUUCAGUGUGCGGCUAUCUCUUUCCCCUCUGACAGAAGUAGACAUAUCAUACUUAUGUAGAAAUCGUGUAGACAUGUUAUAUAUGUCACGUAAAGGCAUGUGCUUGUAAAAGUAGAAAAAAAAACUUUACCUGCCAG